UACGUAGGGACCGAGCGUUGUCCGGAAUCAUUGGGCGUAAAGAGCGUGUAGGCGGCCACUUAAGUCCUGCGUGAAAUCUUGCGGCUCAACCGCAAGCGGUCGUGGGAAACUGGGUGGCUAGAGUGCGGGAGAGGAGAGUGGAAUUCCUGGUGUAGCGGUGAAAUGCGUAGAUAUCAGGAGGAACACCUGUGGUGUAGACAGCUUACUGGACCACUUCUGACGCUGAGACACGAAAGCGUGGGUAGCAAACAGG
rnacentral:rRNA from 1 species